AGUGAACGCUGGCGGUAGGCCUAACACAUGCAAGUCGAACGGCAGCACAGUAAGAGCUUGCUCUUACGGGUGGCGAGUGGCGGACGGGUGAGGAAUACAUCGGAAUCUACUUUUUCGUGGGGGAUAACGUAGGGAAACUUACGCUAAUACCGCAUACGACCUACGGGUGAAAGCAGGGGAUCUUCGGACCUUGCGCGAUUGAAUGAGCCGAUGUCGGAUUAGCUAGUUGGCGGGGUAAAGGCCCACCAAGGCGACGAUCCGUAGCUGGUCUGAGAGGAUGAUCAGCCACACUGGGACUGAGACACGGUCCAGACUCCUACGGGAGGCAGCAGUGGGGAAUAUUGGACAAUGGGCGCAAGCCUGAUCCAGCCAUACCGCGUGGGUGAAGAAGGCCUUCGGGUUGUAAAGCCCUUUUGUUGGGAAAGAAAAGCAGCAGGUUAAUACCCCGCUGUUCUGACGGUACCUAAAGAAUAAGCACCGGCUAACUUCGUG
rnacentral:rRNA from 1 species